rnacentral:rRNA from 1 species
AUUGAACGCUAGCGGCAUGCUUUACACAUGCAAGUCGAACGAGUGGCGGACGGGUGAGUAAUAUAUCGGAACGUGCCCAGUAGCCGGGGAUAACUACUCGAAAGAUUGGCUACUACCGCAUACUCUUUGCUCGUCCCUUAUGGGAUUAGCUAGUGGGUGGGGUAAAGGCUCACCAAGGCAACGAUCCCUUGCUGGUUUGAGAGGACGACCAGCCAAACUGGGACUGAGAAACGGCCCAGAAUCCUACGGGAGGCAGAAGUGGGGAAUGUGGGACAAGGGGAGAAAGGCUGAUCCAGCCAGGCCGCGUGUAUGAGAAGGGCUUAGGGUUGUAAAGUACUUUUGGCAGAGAAGCGGGAAAUGAAGAAUAAGCACCGGCUAACUACGUGCCAGCAGCCGCGGUAAUAG